rnacentral:rRNA from 1 species
UAGGGAAUCUUCCACAAUGGGCGAAAGCCUGAUGGAGCAACGCCGCGUGAGUGAAGAAGGGUUUCGGCUCGUAAAGCUCUGUUGUUAAAGAAGAACGUGGGUAAGAGUAACUGUUUACCCAGUGACGGUAUUUAACCAGAAAGCCACGGCUAACUACGUGUCAG